AUUGAACGCUGGCGGCAUGCCUUACACAUGCAAGUCGAACGGCAGCACGGGGCAACCUGGUGGCGAGUGGCGAACGGGUGAGUAAUGCAUCGGAACGUACCUUUCAGUGGGGGAUAACGUAGCGAAAGUUACGCUAAUACCGCAUAUUCUGUGAGCAGGAAAGCAGGGGAUAGCAAGACCUUGCGCUGACUGAGCGGCCGAUGUCAGAUUAGCUAGUUGGUGAGGUAAAGGCUCACCAAGGCGACGAUCUGUAGCGGGUCUGAGAGGAUGAUCCGCCACACUGGAACUGAGACACGGUCCAGACUCCUACGGGAGGCAGCAGUGGGGAAUUUUGGACAAUGGGGGCAACCCUGAUCCAGCAAUGCCGCGUGUGUGAAGAAGGCCUGCGGGUUGUAAAGCACUUUAGGUGGGGAGGAAGGCUUAUUGGCUAAUAACCAAUAGGAUUGACGUUACCCACAGAAUAAGCACCGGCUAACUCUGUGCCAGCCGCCGCAGUAAAAC
rnacentral:rRNA from 1 species